rnacentral:lncRNA from 1 species
CUUAUUGUAAGAGGGGUCAUCCAUCUCCCUCUCUCUUGGUUCUGCCAAAGCCCUAAUUUCCGUCUUCUUUUUCUUUCCUCACCGCCUCAUUACUAUGCCCAGGACUAUGUUCUCCAUGAAUGAUAUCGUUUUUGAGCCUCAUGACAUUGAGUUUGGAAAUUUGGUGAUUAGUCUAUCUUGGUGUGUCUUCCUAGCUUGUACUCUUCGCCAGAAUUAUAUCCGGUCUUCCUAGCUUCUCUAGGCCUCGUUGAGCUCGAAAUUCCGCAGAGAAGCGGCUCCUUCACUGAGAAGAAGCAAGUUGGUCCCUAUAAAUCAAUCCUUUUUACACUGUUUCUCAUUGGCUCUCCCUGCUGUUGGUCAAUUUUGAUUUUUCUUUCUUUUUUUUUUUUUUUGAAUUGUAUUUGGUUAACGAAAAUCUUUUAUUGAUGGAAUGUUUGAAGUUAAUUAAUU